rnacentral:pre_miRNA from 1 species
AAUAACCUCAUUUUUCGUUUUUUUGUGUCCAACGUUUGAUCAUUCAUCUUAUUUGAAAUUUUUUUGCGAUUAAUAUUUUUAUUGUUACUAGAUGAUAAAAUAUGAAUAGUACUUUAUACGUGACUAAUUUUUUUAAGUUUUUUAUAAAUUUUUCAAAUAAGACGAAUGAUCAAACGUUGGACACGGAAAAAC